rnacentral:rRNA from 1 species
ACUCCUACGGGAGGCAGCAGUGAGGAAUAUUGGUCAAUGGAGGGAACUCUGAACCAGCCAUCCCGCGUGUAGGAAGACGGCCUUAUGGGUUGUAAACUACUUUUAUACAGGAAGAAACGUACCCUCGUGAGGGUGCCUGACGGUACUGUAGGAAUAAGCACCGGCUAACUCCGUGCCAGCAGCCGCGGUAAUACGGAGGGUGCGAGCGUUAUCCGGAUUUAUUGGGUUUAAAGGGUCCGUAGGCGGAUUAAUAAGUCAGUGGUGAAAUCCCAUCGCUUAACGAUGGAACUGCCAUUGAUACUGUUAGUCUUGAAUGAGGGUGCAGUGGUUGGAAUGUGUAGUGUAGCGGUGAAAUGCAUAGAUAUUACACAGAACACCGAUUGCGAAGGCAGAUCACUAACCCUAAAUUGACGCUGAGGGACGAAAGCGUGGGGAGCGAACAGGAUUAGAUACCCUGGUAACACAGAG